GAUGAACGCUGGCGGCGUGCCUAAUACAUGCAAGUCGAGCGAACAGACGAGGAGCUUGCUCCUCUGACGUUAGCGGCGGACGGGUGAGUAACACGUGGAUAACCUACCUAUAAGACUGGGAUAACUUCGGGAAACCGGAGCUAAUACCGGAUAAUAUAUUGAACCGCAUGGUUCAAUAGUGAAAGACGGUUUUGCUGUCACUUAUAGAUGGAUCCGCGCCGCAUUAGCUAGUUGGUAAGGUAACGGCUUACCAAGGCAACGAUGCGUAGCCGACCUGAGAGGGUGAGAGGGGACACUGGAACUGAGACACGGUCCAGAGUAGUACGGGAGGCAGCAGGAGGGAUGAGGGAGAAAUGGGCGAAAGCAUGAAGGAGAAAUGUGGAGUGAGGAAGGAAGGUGUUCGGAGAGUAAAACUCGGCUAUUAGGGAAGAAAACAGGUGUAAGGAAAUGUGCACAUCUUGACGGUAGCGAAUGAGAAAGAAAGGGCUAUCUACGUG
rnacentral:rRNA from 1 species